rnacentral:rRNA from 1 species
UGAAGCGGCAAAAGCUCAAAUUUGAAAUCCUUCGGGAGUUGUAAUUUGUAGGUUGGGAGACCCCGCGGCUAGUGGCACCAAGUCCCUUGGAACAGGGCGCCUUAGAGGGUGAGAGCCCCGUAGGUACCACAAUACCGUCUUGUGUCUCCUCUCCAAAGAGUCGAGUUGUUUGGGAAUGCAGCUCAAAGUGGGUGGUAAAUUCCAUCUAAAGCUAAAUACCGGCGAGAGACCGAUAGCGAACAAGUACAGUGAUGGAAAGAUGAAAAGCACUUUGAAAAGAGAGUGAAACAGUACGUGAAAUUGUUGAAAGGGAAGGGCUUGCAAGCAGACACGGCCUUCGUGCCGGGCCAGCAUCGGUUGCUAGGGGUGGAUAAGGAACAAGGAAUGUAGCUCCUCGGAGUAUUAUAGCCUUGCGCGAUACACCCACUGGCGACCGAGGCCUGCGGUAUUCUUUACCUAGGAUGCUGGCGUAAUGGUUGCAAGCCGCCCGUCUU